AUUCCAGCUCCAAUAGCGUAUAUUAAAGUUGUUGCAGUUAAAAAGCUCGUAGUCGAACUUCGGGCCUGGCCGGGCGGUCUGCCUAACGGUAUGUACUGUCUGGCCGGGCCUUACCUCUUGGUGAGCCGGCAUGCCCUUCACUGGGUGUGUCGGUGAACCAGGACUUUUACCUUGAGAAAAUUAGAGUGUUCAAAGCAGGCCUAUGCUCGAAUACAUUAGCAUGGAAUAAUAAAAUAGGACGUGUGGUUCUAUUUUGUUGGUUUCUAGAGUCACCGUAAUGAUUAAUAGGGAUAGUUGGGGGCAUUAGUAUUCAGUUGCUAGAGGUGAAAUUCUUGGAUUUACUGAAGACUAACUUCUGCGAAAGCAUUUGCCAAGGAUGUUUUCAUUA
rnacentral:rRNA from 1 species